rnacentral:misc_RNA from 1 species
CAUUUGCGCGCCAACGCCUUCACGACCAUACCAAGAAUCAAAGAUUCAGUGCGCGCGCGCUAAUUUCAUUUUAUUCCGGGUACAGAUCAGUGUGGUGAGGUUACAACCAGUCAGUUGAAGAUACGUCUUCAAGUCGGUUAGGUUUUGUGAUUGUUGCAUUCUUAUUUGAAUUCUGGCGCGUAAGGUUGCUACGAACAGUGAAUAGUUGAAUUAAAAAAAAUAUUUUGAAAGUUUAACAACAAACCAAGCAGUUGUCGGAGUUUAUUUUGUUAAUCUAAUUUUGAAUUUGAAAUAAUUUUUAAAUUUAGAACUGUCACCCUGUGCAUUUAGACAUUUUAGAGCAUUUGAAUCGCGCGACAGCGUCCCAAGUUAGUUGGCGUCGGGUUUUUAAGCGUACGGAAGGGAUUUUGGAAGAGCAGCUAAUUUGUGCUGUAUUAUCGCGUUGUAAAGUGUAUUUAAAUCCUAAAUUCAAUCAAAAGCUGAAACAGCUCGUCGCGAAGUACACAACAAACCGUAUCCGACGCGAAUCUGACUAGUGUAAAUAAGUCGGCGCUCAUAACCUCAAAAUUUUGUCGGUGCUCCAUUGCCUACAAAAAAGUGUAUAAAUCUCGACCAAGAUCCCAAGUACUCAUCGAAACAUUCAAUAUCCAUAAUCCGCGUCACGCUCGCCGGUAUAAACACAAACAAUGGCAACAAAAAGCGGUCGAAAAUUGGGUACGCCGGUUGGUGGCCAAUCGGGCGGAACGCCAGCACCGGGCACCUCGACCCCCAUUUCAAAUUUACGACCCAGCAGUCCGCUCAGUCCGACGCGUCAUAGCCGCUUAGCGGAAAAGGCGGAAUUGCAAUCUUUGAAUGAUCGUCUGGCGAUUUACAUAGAUCGUGUACGUCAUCUUGAAACGGAAAAUUCACGGCUUACCCUUGAAGUUCAAACUACCCGGGAGACCGUGACACGUGAAGUUUCUAAUAUAAAAUCAAUGUAUGAACAUGAAUUGAGUGAUGCGCGAAAGUUAUUGGACGAGACGGCACGCGAAAAAGCUAAAUUGGAAAUUGACACGAAACGAUUGUGGGAGGAGAACGAUGAACUUAAAGCAAGGCUUGAUAAGAAGCUCAAAGAACUAGCUCUUGCUGAAAACUCAGCUCGUGUAUAUGAAUCUCGUUGUACCGAACUUACCGGUAAAUACAAUACAGCCUGUGCCGAUCGUAAAAAGGCCGUUGACGAAGCCAAAGAUCUUGAAAAGGAGAACGAUCGAUUGCGUAAACAACUUGAGGAGGCACGUAAACAUCUUGAAGACGAGACACUAGCUCGUGUUGAUCUUGAAAAUACAGUCCAAUCUCUACGAGAAGAGUUAACAUUCAAGGAUCAAGUACACUCACAAGAAUUGAGUGAGACGCGUACACGACGCCAAGUUGAAAUUAGUGAAAUCGAUGGACGCCUCUCAGAACAAUAUGAAGCCAAGUUGCAACAAUCAUUGCAAGAAUUGCGUGAUCAGUAUGAGGCUCAGAUGCGUGCUAAUCGUGAUGAAAUCGAGCUACUCUAUGAAAACAAAAUCAAGAACUUGCAGAAUGCAGCACAACGUAAUAGUAGUGCAGCAUCGAGCGCUUAUGAGGAGCUUCGAACAACACGAACGAAGAUUGAUACCUUGGGCUCACGUAUUAGUGAGCUAGAAGCGCAGAAUAGUGCAUUGAACAGCCGUAUUCGUGACUUGGAGAAGAUCCUAGAUGCUGAGCGCUCACGUCACGCUGAAGACAUUUCAAUGCUUGAAGCAGAACUGUCCAGGUUGCGUGAUGAAAUGGCGCAACAACUUCAAGAAUAUCAAGAUCUGAUGGACAUUAAAGUCUCAUUAGACUUGGAACUUGCUGCCUACGAUAAAAUGUUGAAGGGUGAAGAACAUCGUCUUAAUAUCACACCAAAUACAUCUGCAACAUCAACGACCCAGUUAAGCCAGUCGUUGCGUAGUCGUCACACUCCUGUACGUCGUACUCCAUCACGUGCUCUUCCCGCUAAACGUAAACGUACCGUUGUCGAGGAGUCUGAAGAUCGUAACCUUUCCGAUUAUUCAGUUACAUCUUCUGCCAAGGGUGAUAUUGAGAUUUUUGAAGCUGAUCCUGAAGGACAAUAUGUUAAAUUACACAAUAAAACUAAUAAGGAAGUCAAUAUUGGUGGAUGGCAAUUGGUUCGUACGGCUGGUUCAAAUGAGACUAGCUUUAAAUUCCAUCGUUCCGUUAAAAUUGAUGGAAAUGGUUAUAUAACAGUUUGGUCAUCUGAUGCUGGUGUUACACAUGAACCACCCACUAAUAUUGUUAUGAAGUCACAAAAGUGGUUUGUUGGAGAUAAUAUGAAGACUAUCCUCGUGAAUACUGAUGGAGAGGAAGUUGCCGGGUCUGAACGACAAAAGAUAACAGUAUCCAGUCAUGCAUCACGUCAUCGGGAAUCAGGCGGCUACAGCGGUGGUGAGGAUAUGUAUCAUCACCAGGUACGAGCAUCUAGCAGUUCUUCUGUAGGGCGCUCAUUCUGGUUGUGGUGAAAAGCAAAAACUCGAUUAAAUGCAUCAAAUAAAAUGCAAAAAAAAAGUUAAUAUAAGCAUAAAGUACAUUAUAAAAGAACAAAAAAUCCAAACAGUGAAAAGAAUUAUAAGUAGCGUUUAAAAGUAAAGGAGAAAAAAAUAAGUUGUGUUAUCCCGAAUAACAAUAAAAGUGAACAAGUUCAAAGUUUUAUAUUAUAAUCAAAAAAUAUUCAUUUGUAAAAGUUCAUUAAGUGCCGAUAGACAGACAACAGUUUAUAUAUUGAAACCCGUUAAAAAUUAUAAAUUUAUCUAGAGAAGAGAAAUCUUUAAAUUUAAAAAAAAAAACUCAUCGAGCGUAUCUCGGCCUUUUAAAGAAAAUCUUCAGGGCAUUCGGUUAUUGGUACUAUUGUAUCAAGAAAGUUUCAACGUAAAAAUACAUUUGAUCCUACUCUACUUACUACUAAUACUAGCUUUUGUCUGCCACUAUUAUUUUGUUUGCUGUCUACUUUUCGUAUCCUGUAAUUGCUGUGAGGAUGCAAUCACCCUCCACCCACGAAACAGAGAGAGAGAGAGAGAAGAAACAAGUCGAAAGAACAUGGCGAACCACAAGGUGAAGAGAAGUGUCGUCUAAUGUAAUCCAAUUCAUUUUCCACGAAGUUCGCAUCAACUAUUUUGUCGCGAUCAACAGUAGUAAUAGUAGUAUAGAAAGAGCUUCGUUAUUUUUAGAAGGUUAUGAUAAGUCAGUGCAGAAAUAAAUAGAAAUAUAAAAACUCGAAAUUGCUGAUGGCAUAAAAACCGGGGGGAAAAUAAUUUUUAAUUGAAGCUAAUCAAGGAUUACUAGAGGCAAAAUACCAAGUUAAACAGGAAGUAUGUAGGGUCCAUGAGAGGAAAAUUAUAUUUUCUGAAGUAGAUAGAGUUUAUUUGAUUGUAAAACGUAUGAUAAGAAUGAAAAUGGAAUAUGUAACGGGGGUGGAACGAUUCAGGUUUAAUCCUAGUAAAAGCAAACUGUAGAGUUGUGUAGGCAGAAAUAGAUUUCAUCUUUAAUGCAAAAAAAAUUUUCUUCUGGUGAAAUAGAGUAGGGGGGGCGGAAAAGAUUGAGAAACAAACCUCACGGCCUCAGUAAAAUCAAUUAAAUAAUUGACAUGAAGGAGAAUGUCCUUAGAUUUAGUAUUUCUAUAUAUAUUUUAUUUUUACACGCCUUUUCUUUGUUUAUAAAAUAGUUCGUUUCUUUUUUUAUAUUAAAAAAAACAAAUUAUUAAAACGUUGUGUUCAAGUAUAUCAUGAAAGAGAAGUUAAAGAAAAUAAUAAAUUUUUGUACAUGAAAGUCAAUAAAUAUAUAAUUAUGAAUUCGUUGAUAUGUCUCACAAAAAAAAAAAAGUGCAUAUUGUCUAGUAAUUGAAUAAAGUGAAACUUCCCAAAGGU